UGAGGAGCAAGGAAGCCAGUCCAAGUCCCUA
rnacentral:piRNA from 1 species